CCUACGGGAGGCAGCAGUGGGGAAUUUUGGACAAUGGGCGAAAGCCUGAUCCAGCCAUACCGCGUGCGGGAAGAAGGCCUUCGGGUUGUAAACCGCUUUUGUCAGGGAAGAAAUGCUUCGGGCUAAUACCCUGGGGUGAUGACGGUACCUGAAGAAUAAGCACCGGCUAACUACGUGCCAGCAGCCGCGGUAAUACGUAGGGUGCAAGCGUUAAUCGGAAUUACUGGGCGUAAAGCGUGCGCAGGCGGUUCUAUAAGACAGAUGUGAAAUCCCCGGGCUCAACCUGGGAACUGCAUUUGUGACUGUAGAGCUAGAGUACGGUAGAGGGGGAUGGAAUUCCGCGUGUAGCAGUGAAAUGCGUAGAUAUGCGGAGGAACACCGAUGGCGAAGGCAAUCCCCUGGACCUGUACUGACGCUCAUGCACGAAAGCGUGGGGAGCAAACAGGAUUAGAUACCCUGGUAGUCCACGCCCUAAACGAUGUCAACUGGUUGUUGGGAGGGUUUCUUCUCAGUAACGAAGCUAACGCGUGAAGUUGACCGCCUGGGGAGUACGGCCGCAAGGUUGAAACUUAAAUGAAUUGACGG
rnacentral:rRNA from 1 species